rnacentral:lncRNA from 1 species
UCCUUAAUUGGCCUCAGACUAAUGUUGACCCAGGCUGUUCCUAUUCAUUAGCUAAUUCCUUUCUGCAUGCAGAAUUGCUAAGUGUUAGCCCUGGGCAGGGUUUCUCAAGGAGGAGUGAAUUCCUUUCCUUGUGAACACCACCCCUGAGGACAUUUUUGGUUGUGACAAUUGGUGUCGGCUUGCAGCCAUGGCAUCUGGUGAUAGUGGGAAGCCAAGAACACUGAUCAACUCCCACAGCCUCACAACAAGAGAGUGUGGGUCCAGUGUGUUCGCUUGUACUGAGCUUGACUUCCCUCUCUGGGUGUCAGUGACCUUAUUCUCACCUUUGGAUGUGCUAUGAAAAUUUUUUAGCUGCUUUGAUGUCCUCAAACUUACAGUUCUCUUCUUCUUAACAGAGUUUGGCCAGAGGCAGCUCUCCUCAUGUCCAGGGGUUCAUAUGAAGAUGGUGUCAGAAGUCUAGGCAGAAGUGUACUAAGAACAUGGUGUGGCCUCUCCCUAAGCCUUGCUAGGCUGGGUUAAUUACUUCGUCUCUUUCAACUUCAGUUUUUACAUGAAACUGGAGACAUCAACUUUACCACUAACUUCCAAGAGUGUCAUUGUUGGUAUCAGGUUCGGCUCCGAAUCCGGUGACAUCAUACCUAGGAGACAGAGACCCGGACAUCUGUUGCCAAGGCAACCACCACCAUAUUCCCAUAAUCCCC